CCUACGGGUGGCUGCAGUGGGGAAUAUUGGGCAAUGGGCGCAAGCCUGACCCAGCAACGCCGCGUGAAGGAAGAAGGCUUUCGGGUUGUAAACUUCUUUUCUCAGGGACGAAGCAAGUUACGGUACCUGAAGAAAAAGCAUCGGCUAACUCCGUGCCAGCAGCCGCGGUAAUCCGGAGGAUGCGAGCGUGAGCGGGAUUUAUUGGGUUAAAAGGGUGCGUAGGCGGAAUGCCAAGUCCGCGGUAAAAUCGCGGGGUUUAACCUCGAACCGCCGUGGAAUCUGGGGUUCUUGAGUGGGCGAGAGGUAUGCGGAAUGCGUGGUGUAGCGGUGAAAUGCAUAGAGAUCAGGAAGAACUCCGAUUGCGAAGGCAGCAUACCGGCGCCCAACUGACGCUGAAGCACGAAAGCGUGGGUAUCGAACAGGAUUAGAUACCCUUGUAGUC
rnacentral:rRNA from 1 species